CAUUAACAAAUCUCCAAACACCCUGUGUAAACGUUUGCGUUCCCUUGGUGUCUGCAUACGUGUGUGUGUGUGUGUGUGUGUGUGUGCUUUUAGCACGCACUACGCACGCAGACAGACAGUGGCUCUAAUCAAGCCACAGCCAAGGGAGCGUAUCUUAUACCAUGUCGAUUGACUGCCUUAGACCAUGAAAGCAAACAACUUUUAACAAUGGAUCUCUUGGCUCUUGCAACGAUGAAGAACGCAGCAAAAUGCGAAAAGUCAUGUGACCUGCAUACUUCGUGAAUCAUCAAAUCUUUGAACGCACCUUGCACCUAGUGGCUCUUUCGUCACUAGGUAUACUUGUUUGAGUAUCACAUCAACACCUCACCCGUGAGUGUUGUUGGUAGCAGCAGCAUGGGCGAGCCUGCACACUACCAACACCACCUCAUCGAGCGUGGAUUUGAGACGUCUGAGCACGACAUAGAACAGUGGAUGGGCGAUGCACUGGUCGGUCGAAUGCAGUGUCUUUAAAUGUAGGCUUGGCUAAGGUCCAGCAUACGGUCUAAUGGGAUAACAUCCUGUCGUUAGACUGCUGGCUCCUUGACGGCAGGCAAGAGGUCGAGAGCGUGCGCGUGGGGAGUGCGUCGUGAUCGACAACGGACGGCGCAAGCUGUCUUGACGUUG
rnacentral:rRNA from 1 species